AAGCAAGACCGUGAGGUGGAGCAAAACUCAAAAACUUAGUCUCAGUUCGGAUUGUAGGCUGAAACUCGCCUACAUGAAGCUGGAGUUGCUAGUAAUCGCGAAUCAGCAUGUCGCGGUGAAUACGUUCCCGGGCCUUGUACACACCGCCCGUCACACCAUGAGAGUUGGCAAUACCCAACGUACGUGAUCUAACCCGCAAGGGAGGAAGCGUCCUAAGGUAGGGUCAGCGAUUGGGGUGAAGUCGUAACAAGGUAGC
rnacentral:rRNA from 1 species